GCUCACUGAUGAUACCCCCGCCGCAAGUGGAUAAUAUUAAUAGUGUAAAAAUAUGCAAGUGUUCGGUAAACAGGAAGUUAUCGAGUGAUGAAUCUGAAAACGCAUCACACGGUAUAGCUGACUUAUAUAAAUCCUGAAACCAAAUUUCAGAAAUCCUUGUAUUGUAGUUCCUGAGAAAAAUGUGACGAAAAUUUUCAACUUGGCUAUCAUGUGUAAAAUCAUACAAGUGUUCGGUAAACAGGAAGUUGUCGAGUGAUGAAUCUGAAAACGCAUCAACACGGUAUAGCUGACUUAUAUAAAUCCUGAAACCAAAUUUCAGAAAUCCUUGUAUUGUAGUUCCUGAGAAAAAUGUGACGAAAUUUUCAACUUGGCUAUCAUGUGUAAAAUCAUACAAGUGUUCGGUAAACAGGAAGUUGUCGAGUGAUGAAUCUGAAAACGCAUCACACGGUAUAGCUGACUUAUAUAAAUCCUGAAACCAAAUUUCAGAAAUCCUUGUAUUGUAGUUCCUGAGAAAAAUGUGACGGAAAUUUUCAACUUGGCUAUCAUGUGUAAAAUCAGACAAGUGUUCGGUAAACAGGAAGUUGUCAAGUGAUGAAUCUGAAAACGCAUCACACGGUAUGGCUGACAUAUAUAAAUGUUGAUACCAAAUUACAGAAAGGGUGGAUAUGUAGUUCCUGAGAAAAAUGUGACGAAAGUUUCAUGGGACGGACUGACUGACGGACGGACUGACGGACUGAUGGACGGACAGACAGAGGUAAAACAGUAUACCCCCCCUUUUUUAAAGCGGGGUUUAA
rnacentral:lncRNA from 1 species